CGACCUGACGAGCACAACAACUCGGGUUCAGAAGCGUUCCAAAAAGCCACGAAUGAAAACGUGGCGCCUGCUCCGUACCACCACCUCUCAUGGCAGGGAGGGGAAAAGUCGUCAGCUACCUGCCAACUCAUGCUCCUGAACAAUGACUCGCCUGUGAGAGGACGAAAUAAAUUGAAACGAUGAAGUCAGUGUGGCAGCUGCGGCGGCUGUGUGCACUGUAGCAUGUGAGCCAAACAUGAGUCCCAACUGCGAUGCUUGGUGGAGUGGACGCGCUGCCAGGGAGAGCUCUGUGCUCGCCUCACACUGUGCUGCUGGACUGCAAUCCUCA